ACAGGAAGAUGUGUCACCUUGUCAUUACAGUUUCGUUCACUAAUAAUGUUACUCAAUUUCAUGGAACAAAAUUUCAUCUCAUUUUGAGGUUACAUUGAGAAGCAGAGCGUCUUUUAGGCUUAAAAAUCUAGCACCAGAUAGAUUCAUUAUAAAAUAAAAUUUAUUAACGAUGUUUUUUUUUUUUUUAAUUUUAGCUUGAGUAUCUAGUUUUUAGGCUUGCGCCAAAACUCUUGAAUUAUAAAAUAUAGGCUUCUCAUCAAGAUUUAGUUAAUAUUUCUAACAGUGAUUUAAAAUAGAAUUUUGGUUUUUAAAUUUUCAAGCCCUCCAAGGAAAUCUUCAUCUUAGCCAGAUUUGAAAUAUUAAAUCUAAUUUUCUUAAGAUAAUACAAGUUCUAAAAAGCCUAAACGCUAGCACUACUUCAGUUGGUUUCGUUUGUGAAUAAACUUCUCUAUUAAAGAAAAAAAAGUGUAUUUUAUGACAGCAAUCCUGUCUCGAAAGUUUCAUUCUUCGCCACUGCAAGCUGUUAUACAAUGGGGAUACAACAUAAAGUCUUGUUUCUAUAUCUCUUUUUCAUAGGCGUGGGAGGAACUGAGGACCGUGACCUAGGAUGGUUUGGGAACCACUGUGAACAUAAGUGUACAUGUAUUCACAAUAGAUGUUUGGAAGAUGACCAAUGCAAUUCAGGAGUUAGCGACAGAACGAAUGAAUUGUUGGUGACAUCAUUUCCUUCGCUGAGCCCUGAGCUAGUACUAGAUGACAACGAUGACACAUGUACAGGGAACAUAACCAUGCUUCAUUUGCAGUUUUUAACUCCUUUGCAAUUAUCAGGGCUAAGAUUAACCCUAAGACAUGAUGGCAAGUAACAAAGUGGGCAAAUAUUUAAACAGGCAAAUAUGUAAACAUGCAAAUAUGUAAACAUGCAAAAAAUGUCAAAAUAACUUCUAAAGAUGGUAAAAGACUUGCAUGAUAGCAUUAAAUGCUCAUACGAUAUGGGCGGGUGUUCCUAAAGUAGUUCGUAGAUAACGUUGUCCCAACGAUACGUUGAGGAAGUAGAUGUUUUCAAGUCAGAGAAUAUUUUACUCAAGGCGUAACCAUUAAGCCUUUAACUUAGGCGGCCACGUCGCUUAAAAUUAAGCCUUUCAUCUUUUUCUCAUAUCUUCAUCCGCAUCUUCAUCUACAUUUUCAUCGAACUCACAUUCUCAUCUUCAUUUACAUUUUUGUCUACAUCUACAACUUCAACUUCAUCUACAUUUGAAUCUACAUCUUCAUGUACAUCAGUGGUUCUCAAACUUUUUAGCUCGGCGAUCCUACACUUUCUCACUAUACGGCGACCUCCACACGUAAAAUAUUUUCGUAAAUAAAUAGAAGUAAUUGUGCCUACGCUAAUGUUAUAAUGUAAAACAUAGUUUAAAUAUCUGAUAUGCAUUGACAACAUUUUAUGCUUAUGGCGUAUUAUUAAUUAAAAACGAAUUUUUUUAGAAAUAAUGUCAUGAUUCCACAAUGACAUAACGUCAUAUGUAAUUACUCAGACAACAGGCUUCACU